AGCACAUUUCUCCUUGGGAACUCAAGAGCCUAGGAGUACACCUCAGCAGGCACACCAGAGAAGGACCACUCCUGGAUAAGGAUUUGAGCCACUGCCACGACUGCCAUCUCUACACUAUAUUACACACGCCAGCAGAUGUGGGAGGUGGUGAUCAACGUGACUCGUCAGCAGGUGGAGGACUUCCACGGCCCCGCGGACUACUGAUUACUGUGUGUGGCCUAGAGCCACCUGAGGACCUCCAAGAGCUGGCAAGGACACCAUCCGCGUCGCCCAACAUGGACAAACCAAAUCUGACAGGGUGCCCAUCAUCAGCUGCUGUGACGGGCCUUCCAUGGUGUUGCUGUGGUUAUUGCAAGGACAAUCAAAAACUGUUUUAUUUGGUUUAUACAAACCAAAACAAUAUGUAAAUAAACUACACAAUUUGUACUGCUAAAUCCUGAAAUUGUAAGUAGUUAUUAAGUAAUGCCUGUGUGCGUUUGUAUUAAGCACUAUAUAAAAAUACAUUACACAUACGUAAAACCUGUUCUG